rnacentral:rRNA from 1 species
UAUAGCGUAUAUUAAAGUUGUUGCAGUUAAAAAGCUCGUAGUCGGAUUUCGGGCUCGGGCAGGCUGUCGGCCUCGGUCGGACGGCAGGCUCGGGCCUUUCUGCCUGGGGACUCCGUCACACUUAACUGUGGGGCGGUUGGACGCAGGCCGUUUACUUUGAAAAAAUUAGAGUGUUCAAAGCAGGCCUACGCUUGAAUACAUUAGCAUGGAAUAAUGGAAUAGGACUUUGGUGCUAUUUUGUUGGUUUAUGGGACCGAAGUAAUGAUUAACAGGGACAGUUGGGGCCGUUUAUAUUUCGUUGUCAGAGGUGAAAUUCUUGGAUUUACGAAAGAUAAACUUCUGCGAAAGCAUUCGGCAAGGAUGUUUUCAUUGAUCAAGAACGAAAGUUAGGGGAUCGAAGACGAUCAGAUACCGUCGUAGUCUUAACCAUAAACUAUGCCGACUAGGGAUCAGUGGAUGUCAAUUUGCGACUCCAUUGGCACCUUGUGAGAAAUCAAAGUUUUUGGGUUCCGGGGGGAGUAUGGUCGCAAGGCUGAAACUUAAAGGAAU